UUGGGCAUAUCAUGAAGAAAACCUGACUUUAAAAGUGGUGUUUGGACAGGAAGCAGCAGUGUUCCAGGAGGAUUUUUGAGUCAAACAGGAGAGCAACUGGCUUCUCAAAGUGUGUGUUUCAUGGAUCCCUAAAAUAUGGUGCUGCACUAUUGGAGCAGCCAGGACCAAGGAACCAAUGACCCAGAGAAUCUGGGCUUCCCCCACUCCUGAAUGAUCUGUUCAGGCUGAGCUACUCAAGCCUCUUCUGAGUAAAAAGAGAUAUCACCAUGCUCUGGCUCCUGGAACAUCUGAGAGAUCAGAGAAACAGCUGAGCUGAGCUAACAGAAGAACCGAAGUGUCUAAUGAAUUCAAGGCCGACGUUGAGGUGUAAUGGUAAUACAGCAGGAGCCCUGGUUCACUGAAAACACUUCUCCAGCCUUUUGCACAUCAUUGUGCCUCUCUCUCGUAACCGCCUCUGCAGCGCUGGAAAGGGUAGGAGCAGGAAGGUGGGUGCCAUGGCCUCGGGGCAGCCUCGUAGGGAGGGGGCAGCCCGGCCGAGCCCCCAGGCUGGGGCGCAGCAGCGCUGAGCGGCCACGAGAUGGCAGCUGGAGCCCAAGGAUCAGAACACACACACACACACACACACACACGUAGUGUUCUGGACACACACAACCACAUGGUGUCCUAGACCCACGCACACACACUGUCCAGGAUACACACACGCGCGCGCAUAGUGUCCUGGACACACACGUACACACACACACAUAGUGUCCUGGACAC